rnacentral:rRNA from 1 species
GUACAACUUUGAGCGGUGGAUCACUCGGCUCGUGCGUCGAUGAAGAGCGCAACCAGCUGCGUGAAUUAAUGUGAAUUGCAGAACACA